UACGAAGGGGGCUAGCGUUGUUCGGAUUUACUGGGCGUAAAGCGCACGUAGGCGGUUUGUUAAGUCAGGGGUGAAAUCCCGGAGCUCAACUCCGGAACUGCCUUUGAUACUAACUCCUAGUGUAGAGGUGGAAUUCGUAGAUAUUAGGAAGAACACCAGUGGCGAAGGCGGCUUACUGGUCCGGAACUGACGCUGAGGUGCGAAAGCGUGGGGAGCAAACAGG
rnacentral:rRNA from 1 species